UGUUCCUUCUGCAGUUUCUUCUCGUUAACUUGGCCUCUGGCGUUUGUGGACGAGGCGCCGGGUCUGCACGGUGCCCGCAAAUGCCACGCGACUAGACGGCACUUUGUGUGUGCGCUACAGUAUCCGUCAGUGGCUAUGUUACUUCAGGAGAUUGGGUAAAAAGCGGUUUAAUAACGAUGGUGACUUUGUUUCUAGGUGUCUCGGAGGCGUGAGCUGCGCAUUUCCCUCCUGAAACUCCGGGGAGAAUCCCCCUCCCCGCCGCCUCCCGCCGCCCGCGCCCCGUCAGCGUCGUGUGUUCCCGUCACUGGGAACGGCCUUUCGGAUCUCACAGAAGCAUGACUGAACCAAUGUUUAACUUUUACCCCUAAGAGAGGGCCAAUCCAGAAAGAACCUUUGACUUGGUAUUGAAAGUGAAAUGUCAUGGCUCUGAAAAUGAAGAUCCUGUGGUUUUGUGGAAAUUCCCAGAGGACUUUGGAGACCAGAUGCCAGAACGCUAGCGAGUCAGAACAUUGUGAUCAUCCUCUGUGGAAACAAGAAGGACCUGGAUGCAGAUCGCGAAGUUACGUUCAUAGAAGCCUCCAGAUUUGCUCAAGAAAA